GAUGAAGAACGCAGUGAAAUGCGAUAAGUAAUGUGAAUUGCAGAAUUCAGUGAAUCAUCGAAUCUUUGAACGCACAUUGCGCCCUCUGGUAUUCCGGGGGGCAUGCCUGUUCGAGCGUCAUUAUAACCACUCAAGCUCUCGCUUGGUAUUGGGGUUCGCGGUUCCGCGGCCCCUAAAAUCAGUGGCGGUGCCUGUCGGCUCUACGCGUAGUAAUACUCCUCGCGUCUGGGUCCGGUAGGUCUACUUGCCAGCAACCCCAAAUUUUUACAGGUUGACCUCGGAUCAGGUAGGGAUACCCGCUGAACUUAAGCAUAUCAAUAAGCGGAGGA
rnacentral:misc_RNA from 1 species